UCGAAAUAAAUAAAUUCAAAGAGGGAAGAUGGAAUAGCAGUCUAGGACUGUCGCUGGCUCUGCAUGUGCAUGUGCACGUCCUUGCUAUCUCUGUCGACCUUUCUUAAUUUAAUUAUACACACCUGUGCACCUAUUGUAGGUCCUUGCAAGAGGAUCUACGUUUUUCACUUUACAUCCCUAUCGUAUGUCUAUAGAAUGUUUUCAAAGACCAAGACCUUGGUCAAUGAAAUAAAAAUCAUAUA
rnacentral:misc_RNA from 1 species